UACGUAGGGUGCGAGCGUUGUCCGGAAUUACUGGGCGUAAAGAGCUCGUAGGUGGUUUGUCGCGUUGUUCGUGAAAACUCACAACUCAAUUGUGGGCGUGCGGGCGAUACGGGGCAGACUGGAGUACUGCAGGGGAGACUGGAAUUCCUGGUGUAGCGGUGGAAAUGCGCAGAUAUCAGGAGGAACACCGGUGGCGAAGGCGGGGUCUCUGGGCAGUAACUGACGCUGAGGAGCGAAAGCGUGGGGAGCGAACAGG
rnacentral:rRNA from 1 species